GAAAUCACAUGCGUAUAAGGUGAGUAAACUAAAAAAUGAAGAGAGCUUCGAGGGAGUUCCAGUCAGUUUCUUCGAGAUUUUCCGGCUAAGUUUUGCCGGAAUCAGUUAGGCUCAUCGUUCGCUAGUUCCAAUUCCAAAAUCUCCAUUUUUUUCUCUCUCGUCGUUUAUUUUUUUAUAUUUCCAGGCAAACCCAAUUGGUAAACGUCAAAAGUAACUGGAAUCUUCCUUGAUUCAUCUUCUUUGCCGCCACCUGAGCUCACCGAAGCUCGGGUACACUAUCCUUUGGCUCUGUCGUGUAUUGGAGUUUUGUGUUCGUAGUUCUGUUCGAAAUUAUCGAUUUAGGAGGUCGAAUUGAGUUUAUUCUUGCUGGUUUGGAACUUGUCUGGAUCGAUUCACGACCCUCAGGUGAGCAACAGUAACCUUACCCCUUUUUGUUCAUCAGAAAUCGGUUUCGAGACCAGUCAACGUUGGGUACUGCGUUUGGAUUUGGGUCAGUCAGUUCUUUGUGCUCUAUUUUGGAUUAGUUUUUCUCUAUACCAAGUUGGAUUCAUCGUAAUCGAGGUUUUCUAUUCGAGAUUCCAAGUGUGGGUCUUCUUUAAUAUUAUUACCCACCGAAAUCUAUUAUUGGAAGGUCCAUUUUCUUUCACUCAUUCUCUCUUCUUUAUUGUAAUUUGUUGAAUUGGGCAUGUUUGAAAUUGGAUGAGUUGGUGAAUGUUUGAUGUUAUUCACGUGAAAUUUGUAUGAUUAUCAUGCUUUAAUUGUCGUUGGGUCUUUGUUGUUUAUAUUGUAUUCCGAUUUGAAAAAUUGAGUUGAUAGUCAAAGCAUGUGUUAAUUUUUGGUUGAAAAAGGAUUUCGGGGUGGGAAUAAGAAGUUGUUAAAAAGUUGAAUGUAGUUAAAUUUUGGACCGUUGUCGUUUUAUUUAAUUCGGAUUAAGCAUGAAUUUGAUAGAAUCAUUUUAAAUCAAAAGCUUGAUAGGAAACAUAGGUCGGGUAGGCGAAUUUAGGGAUUGUGGAUUGAUGGAAUAUUCGAUUUGUGUGAUUGAAUGGUUCUUGGCUAUAUUGCUUAGGGAUCACUUGUAUCAUUUGGCCGGGGAAUGCCCCGAAGUACUUGUAUUAUUUUUAUUCGGGGAAUGCCCCGAGGUAUUUUGUAUUCGGAGGACGUCCGUGAUGAAGGCCCGAGGCGUCGGGUAAAGCAUAGGAGUAGUUUAGGAUUAGUUUCGAAUAGAAUAGGUUUACAUUUUCGCAUUUUUCAUUUUUCGGGACUGUAUAAUUGGACUGGACAUUAUAUUUUGGAUAAUUUUGUUUUGUUUGCUUGAGUGAUUGUUUUUGCGUACUUUGUGUGGUUUAUGCAUUUGUAAUGUCAAUUUAGCUGAUACGCUCUGCCAAGCGACCGUGGUCAAACCACAGGAUCGAGGGGUGCCUAACACCUUCCCCUCGGUCAACAGAAUUCCUUAGCCGGAAUCUCUGUUCGCAAACCAGUAUUAAAGAGUCAAAACCAUUUUGAAAAAGGAUAUCCAUGGGUGACUUGGCACACCCGAUUUAUGCCAAGUGCCGACUCUGAGUUUUGAUUGUUAAAAGUCCUUUUCAAAACAAAUUUUCAUAUUUGUCACUUUAAUAAUAAAAAUCCUUUUGAAACUUAAAAUGAAUCUUUUUGGGAGUUAAACCUGAAAAAGGGGUGUGACAAUGAUAAUAAUGAUAAUAAUUUGAUAUGUCUCUGUAGGACUCUGCUACAGAGAAUGAGGAACGUGCAGGUUCUCCAUGAAUAUCGAAGUGCAAAUGCUAUUGCAGAUAGGCUAGCAAAGGAGGGCAAUAAGUUAGCUCAGGACUCUUUUUUGUAAAGAAUGGACAGUUCCCCCGUUGUUUAUUCGGAACCAGCUGGAAGUAGACAAGGAGGGAACUCCUUCUGCUGUUCUAUGUCCAUCCACCUCGUUGGAUGUUUGUAAUCGUACUAGUUGUCAUGUUAUAACUGCUUGUAGCUUUAGGGAUGAUCCCUCCGAAACUGGUCACUUUGGCUCCUAUGUGUACUAACUAAAGUUCUGAACUUUUAGUAGUAACGAAUAAAAUUCCAUGUUCAUCCAAAAAAAACAAAAACAAAAAAAAGAUAGCCUAUAUUGACAUAUUUUUUAGAUUGGCUUGUUUAAAAUUUGUGUUUUUAAAAAAAUAAAAAAAAAUUUAACUUACUUUUAAGAUUUAACUUAAUUGUUAGCUGUGCUUGCAUUCGCUUUUUUUAAAAAAUAAAAAACGAAAAAUAUAUUCAAAUGUAUGUUUAUGAAUUAAGUAU
rnacentral:lncRNA from 1 species